UACGUAGGGGGCAAGCGUUGUCCGGAUUUAUUGGGCGUAAAGAGCGUGUAGGCGGCUUGGAAGGUCAGCUGUGAAAACUCGAGGCUCAACCUCGAGACGUCGGUUGAAACCACCUGGCUAGAGUCCGGAAGAGGAGAGUGGAAUUCCCGGUGUAGCGGUGAAAUGUGUAGAUAUCGGGAGGAACACCUGUGGCGAAAGCGGCUCACUGGACCACAACUGACGCUGAGGCGCGAAAGCUAGGGGAGCAAACAGG
rnacentral:rRNA from 1 species